rnacentral:rRNA from 1 species
ACACGUAGGGGGCAAGCGUUGUCCGGAAUUACUGGGCGUAAAGGGCGUGUAGGCGGCCGAUCAAGUCAGGUGUGAAAUUUCAGGGCUCAACCCUGAGCGUGCACUUGAAACUGGUAGGCUUGAGUGCAGAAGAGGAAAGUGGAAUUCCCAGUGUAGCGGUGAAAUGCGUAGAUAUUGGGAGGAACACCAGUGGCGAAGGCGACUUUCUGGUCUGCAACUGACGCUGAGGCGGGAAAGCUAGGGGAGCAAACAGGAUUAGAUACCCUGGUAGUCCUAGCCGUAAACGAUGGGUACUAGGUGUAGGGGGUUUAGACGCCCUCUGUGCCGCAGUUAACACAUUAAGUACCCCGCCUGGGGAGUACGGCCGCAAGGCUGAAACUCAAAGGAAUUGACGGGG